UACAGAGGGGGCAAGCGUUGUUCGGAAUUACUGGGCGUAAAGGGCGCGUAGGCGGCCGACUAAGUCAGACGUGAAAUCCCCAGGCUUAACCUGGGAACUGCGUCUGAUACUGGAUGGCUCGAGUUCGGGAGAGGGAAGUGGAAUUCCAGGUGUAGCGGUGAAAUGCGUAGAUAUACUGGAGGAACACCGGUGGCGAAGGCGGCUUCCUGGACCGACACUGACGCUGAGGCGCGAAAGCGUGGGGAGCAAACAGG
rnacentral:rRNA from 1 species